rnacentral:rRNA from 1 species
CCUACGGGAGGCAGCAGUGAGGAAUAUUGGUCAAUGGCCGGAAGGCUGCACCCGCCAUGCCGCGUGUAGGUCAGUGCCCUAUGGGCGUUAAACUUCUUUUGUGCGGGAGCAAUACUGGUCACGUGUGGCCAGACGAGAGUACCGUACGAAUAAGCAUCGGCUCACUCCGUGCCAGCAGCCGCGGUAAUCCGGGGGAUGCAAGCGUUAUCCGGAUUUAUUGGGGUUAAAGGGUGCGUAUGCUGUGAGGUAAGUCAGCGGUGAAAUGCCCCGGCUCAACGGGGUGAAGUGCCAUUGAUACUGCCUUGCUGGAAUGCGGAUGCGGUGGGAGGAAUGUGUGGUGUAGCGGUGAAAUGCAUAGAUAUCACACAGAACACCGAUUGCGAAGGCAUCUCACGAAUCCGCGAUUGACGCUGAUGCACGAAAGCGUGGGUAUCAAACAGGAUUAGAUACCCUUGUAGUC